rnacentral:tRNA from 1 species
UGGGGUGUAGCUCAACCGGCAGAGCGCCUGGCUGUUAACCAGGAGGUUGGUGGUUCGAGCCCACCCGCCCCAG